rnacentral:rRNA from 1 species
GAUGAACGCUGGCGGCGUGCCUAAUACAUGCAAGUAGAACGCUGAAGGAGGAGCUUGCUCUUCUGGAUGAGUUGCGAACGGGUGAGUAACGCGUAGGUAACCUGCCUGGUAGCGGGGGAUAACUAUUGGAAACGAUAGCUAAUACCGCAUGACAACAGUUAUUGCAUGAUAACUGUUUAAAAGGGGCAACUGCUCCACUACCAGAUGGACCUGCGUUGUAUUAGCUAGUUGGUGAGGUAACGGCUCACCAAGGCGACGAUACAUAGCCGACCUGAGAGGGUGAUCAGCCACACUGGGACUGAGACACGGCCCAGACUCCUACGGGAGGCAGCAGGAGGGAAUCUUCGGCAAUGGACGGAAGUCUGACCGGGCAACGCCGCGGGAGUGAAGAAGGUUUUCGGAUCGUAAAGCUCUGUUGUAAGAGAAGAACGAGUGUGAGAGUGGAAAGUUCACACUGUGACGGUAUCUUACCAGAAAGGGACGGCUAACUACGUG